GCAGUCGUGGCCGAGUGGUUAAGGCGAUGGACUUGAAAUCAAUUGGGGCUUCCCCGCACAGGUUCGAAUCCUGUCGGCUGCG
rnacentral:tRNA from 1 species